GAACGUUUCAGCCGCUGCCCAGCAGGAAAGAUCUGGUUGUGGGAGACCUCUUUCAGGACUCACUGUUUGUCUGAAGGCUGUCACAGCAGAUGAGUACUCAGCAAACAGCGUGAACAAGGAUUUGAACCAGAAAACCAACAGAGCCUUGACAAUAUUGUGAUUGGGCCUUGUCUCUUUAGAGGGGGCUGAAAGCCCAGUUGAGAGCAGUAACAAGUGCACAUUCAGAGCAGGACGGGGAUGCCUUUGGGUUGUGUUUUAUGGUUUUGAGGCUUAUAUGUAGGUGGAUAAAGCCAAAUCAUGUUAAUCUCCUCUUUCUCCUUUCAGAAUGGGAGAACCUGUGGCACUUUAAUUGCCUAAAGUCUUACAAAGUCAUUCGUCAGUCUUGUUAGGUCAAACGCGAAUGAGACUUUCGGGCAGUGCAAAUACAACACGAGUGGAAGCGUACUUUAAAAGUGUAAAUAACAUCGCUGCAACGCGAUAUUACGCUUGGUUUAUUGAUGUUAUUUCACAUUUUCUCUGGUGCUUUGGCUUUCAUCAAAGGAUCCUAUUGACGGACCUGCUGUGGACGCCAUUAAGACGACACUUGACUCUGUUGUGCAGCCCCCUCCAGUGUCCCUGUUUGCACCUGACGAUGUAACGAUGGAUGUCAUGUAAGAUGUGCAGGGCCUCUGUCAGAGACUAUAGAUUUAGGGGCAAUAGGAGAUCUUUACAUUCAACAUGCACUUAUUCACACAGUCGACCCUGCACACUUCCUCACUUACUGCGAAUCACACAGACACACAAGCACCUUCGCUUUGUCACCUGGUCUCUGGCCAGAAAAGGGGAUUAGAAAAACAACCCUGCUCCUUCCAGUGAAUGGAAGGGGAGGGGUGGGGGGGGUAUUGUUUUCUCAUUUUCAGGAUAAAUAAGACUUGUGCGAAAAAUAAAAUCCACUCGGUUGAUUUAGACCAGUGUGUUUUCACACCAACAGGUCUGAUAACACCAAUGAAUCAGCUACUGAAGACAAAUAGAACGAGGAGUGAGAAUCAGUUAAAUCAGAUUACACAUAAAACAAACCGAUUAUAUGCUCCAGUUUUGUUUUCCCCUCUGACUUUGUAUACAUUUAUCGACUUAUUUAUCCAUUUGACGGCGAGUGAGAGGGCCGUACAAAGAGCGAUGUUGUCUUUUGGAGGAGUUGGGCUAACUUUGAAGGUUUCUGAAGAGAGAGGCUUGUGAUGGAAUGGGCUGGGAAGGACUGUGACUUCUCCAUUGAGAGUGGAGGGGCACGCUGGAUUAGCUUGAUUUGCCUGUGAAUGGGCGCUUUCCAUUAUUCUUGUUAGGGAGCUGUCACAUCGAAUUGAGAAAGUGAAAACCUCCUUUUAUCAACCUUUUCCAAGUGAAACUGAACAGACAAUCAAUAACUGAAUUCAGGCCCAGGGGGAAAGUCAAGCAGAAUGAUAUGGGGCUGUUAUAAAGGGGGUAUUUGUCAAAUUGCUAAUGGGAAAAAGCAGAUAACUGGUGUAAUGUUGGCUCCAGAUGCUGUUGGGAUUAAUGGAAAACUGAAGAUGAAGAAAUUAAGUCGUAGUGGUACAAAUAAAAUUAGGUCUGUUUAGCACUUUAAAAAAAUGGUAAUUCAAAAUAAAUUGCAAAAAUACAAAUGCUACUACUACUAUUAAUAAUAAUAUAAAACGACAAUAAUGUGAAGGAGAUCUGCUGGACAAAGCGGGUGAUAUUAAAAUAUUAGUUUCAGAAUAUCUAAAAACAUUUUUUUUGUAAAAAUAAAUAUUAAGCCUAUUUAGAAACCUUCAAGAAAUACACCAAAUCACAAAAGUCUUAUUUCCGAUAAUUAAGCUGAAUCCAAAAUGCUAGUAUUAUACUUUAAUAGUAAAAAUAUUGCUUGGAUGCAAAAUAUAUUUUAACAAUAUAUUCAUCAUAUUAUGAUUAUGAUCAUUUUGCAACAAGUUCAAGACCAAACAAACCGGGAGUGUCUCGCUUUUUUAUUAUAAGAAUGACACCAUAUUGUUUUGGAGUUUCAUUAUAUUGACCUUAUUGUGCCAUUGUGCUUGUUCUGACACCAUGAUAAUGCCUGAAUACAGAGGGAAUUAUGCUCUGUAUAAAUAGUUCCCAUAGUCAAGGAUCGCUUCAAUUAUCCCUCUACACAUUGACAACACCAACAGAAUAAAAACUAAAGCCUUAGUCCAAGCUGGUCUCAAGGCGCUCUUCAAACAUUGUUUUGGCUUUUGUUAGAGGGGCAGAGGAACAUCGCCAGCAUCAAUGGUAAUAGAGAAAAAAAAUACAUUCAUCUGAUACAUUAACUGCUUUUAUACAAUCAGAGCAUUCAUUGAGAUUUUUUUUUAUAAAAGUAAUUAAAGUACAUUAAUAGUUGUUUUAAACACUUUUUAGUAUAAUAUAUUAUUCAUAUGUUGUAAUUGUGUAGUAUAUUCCGUUCUGUUUCUAGUGUUUACAGGAUUUUUCCAUCAUAUUAAAUUGCACAUUUUAUCAUGCCGCAAGGCUUCCACACCCAAACCAUUAUUCAACAAAUUUUCUCAUAUUGCUGUAGCCAAUUUUUACGCUGGUUGGAGAAAAUGAAUCGGAUCAUUUGGCCUCAUCAAUCAAUUUGGUAAUUGAUGUCUUAAUCAUUAUACAGUUAAUUGAGCACCUUCAUUGUUGCCUGUCAUUGUCCCAAGUACCAGCCUGCAGCAGUUUGGGGGGAAUUGGAACAAACGACGUGAAUUUAUUGCUUACUUACUAUAACCGCUUUCCAAAUAUUGAGUAAACAUUUGGGGCAAAAAGGUUUUUUUUUAGAAGUGUGUCUUCCUUUACAGGCCUUAGUCGGUGCUGUUUUGUAAAAGGUAACUCAAAAAUAAGCACAAAAUGAUUUUGUUGAGUGCGGCUAUUCCCGCCAAUAAGAGCACGUGUGGUUUUCAUCGGCGUAAUUGUCAUCCAUCCAUCUUCUCCGCACAGUGAGUUGAUCGCAGCCUAUGAAAAAUGACUCAUGGCUGUAAUGACGGCCUCACCUCUGAGUGGUAACCACGUUGGCAGCCCUCUGUGGAACAGUAAUUCCCCAUUUAUUCCACUUCAAUGUCUUCUCCACCUCAUAUACCCUCUUACCUUUCAAAUGGUCACGUGAGAAAUCCUUCUUUUCUCAAUGCAUCCACUCCCAACAUCAGAUGAACACUACAGGCAAAAAGGCCGAGGCUGCAGAGGCCACCGGCUGUCACGCAGAGAGACGGGGGUGCAGGAGGUGGGUGCAGGAGAUGCGUGCAGGAGAUAGGUGGAGGCCGGCUGUUCGGGCUCAGGGGGACUGCCGGGGGAGGGGAAGAGUCCUUAAUUGAGUUAGAGAAUACUUUAAUCACGACUGUUUCCCACAUUCCUGCUCUUAACGCUUCACAUACAAUAUGAGCUACAAAGGGAGGAGGGGAAAAAAAGGAAAACCGCCAGUUCCAGCCCGCGAAAUGUGCAGCUGCGAGGUAAUUAUCAUCAAGCACCCCGGCAUCUGUGUACAAACAAUCCCACAGCUGCUGGCAUUGAUACUGUAAAUGCAGAGAGGAGCGGAGAAAGCCCAGGUUGACCCCAGGGCCUCGCUGUCGCCUCCAAGACCACGACCCAUUCAUCUGGGAGGUGUUGGUGACACCCGUGAAUACUCGACCUGUUCACCAUUUCAAAUGAGCAGUCUCUCUUUUUGUUUACGCCGCUGUGUUCGCCUGUUUAGAACGUUGUAUGAAAUGUUUGUAUCGUAUUGCAAAAAUACUGUAAUUAUCAGGGUUCUUACAGCACACGAGUACUAACGUGUGAAUUUC
ensembl:lncRNA